CGCUUCUCAGCCUACAGUGGUGCCUUACGAGUCUGAGCGACCAGGUCUGCGCAUGGAGAGCCCGGCCUUCUUAGGCGGCGACAGGUGUGUCCUCCGGACGGGCUCCUGGCCGUCUCCACCAGCUUUCUCGGGCUGAACGCGGCUGGGCUCCCCCAAGGCCUCCCCUUGCUGACGGCUCCACGCCUGCUGGACGAGAAGCGGCCUCCCCGGGGCGUCGCAAGCCCCUGGGACAAGAAGAGGAGCCGACAUUGAGGGAGACCUGAGCAGUGGACGCAGGCAGCGUCAGCCUGGGCGUCCCCGGAGUCGCGGCGAGACCCUGGCUCCCCACCACCGCCCGGCUCUCAGCUUUGGCAUCGCGUCUCCAGAGAGGGCGGUGGAUGACGAGGAACUGCAGCAGUGUACGACCCCCGGGCUCCAGACGACCCUGGGGAGAGCGCGCAGAGUUCCUGGCUAGCGGCCCCCUCGCAGCCGGGCACCCCUUCUCGGCUGCGCGCAGCCACUUAGGGGCACAAGAUAAGCCCCUGGGGAGGGAGCGGGCUGCAGGCGCGGUGGGGAAGAACGGCCCGGACGCAGCCGGGCACAGGGAAGGCCGGGCCUGCAGACUGGAGAGACGUGGGCUGCGGUGAAACCGUUAGGGCUGCUUUGCCGCGCACAGACGCGGAGGCCUUUACAAGGCCGGCAGGCCUCGCCCAGGGCCUGGGCCGCCGCAGGUGCCUUUGGGUCACACCCGGGGCGAAUCCCACCCCCUCCUGGGGCCGCUUCUGUUUACCAAACCCCUCAGGCUAUUGCGUUAGUUGUGCGGGGGAAGGAUAGAGGCAGGGUCCUCUGGUGGAGGGGAGGGAACUGGGGACCCGGGGCUGCUGGGGACGCAGGCGACAGAAUGAAAGGCGAAGAGGCGGCAGCUCGAAUCUGUCUGGGGGUGAUUUUAACCGGCGCAGAGGUGCAGCAUAUGCUUUCCAGGUUGGACUGCGGAAUACAAAGAACGACUCUGAGCCCGGGGAGCCUCCUGACACCGAAACCAAACGAUCCCGACCUAGGGGGGCUGAGUGGCAGGAGACUGGAUUUUUUGUUGAGUUGCAAUUAAAGGGAGAUAAUUAAGCCCGGAGCCGCGCAGCUUAUUAAUAUUUAUAGCCCGGAGCGACAGGGCCUGCGCUCGCUGGAAGCGGAUUUGCAGGCCCAGGCGCGGAGCCGGUGUCUCCUGAGCCAGGGGCUUCGCAGACUCGGGAGGAGAAGGCUCGAUGGGGAAAUUGGGGAGCGUCCGCCUUCUGCGUUUCUCCUAAUUACGCCAGCGGUCAAAGUCCGGCCGGGCCGGAACGUCCCGAAGGCCGGGAACCGCGCGAUGCCCGAAUGCGGGGCGACCCGGCCGCAGUAUCCAGCAUUUCGGAAGCCCAGUUAGGUCUCGUCUCUUUGUUAAUUACCCAAACUGCAUCUCGCAGUAUGUUUCUGCCCACGGGGACAGACCGCGCGUUAAGGAAAUGGCCCAAUAAUUAGGACUCGGGGUAGAAUGUGUCUUAUUUUCUUGGAGCAUGUGGGGCAAAGGAGACAGUAGGUACAUGCGGCCCUGGCUUUGGGGCAAUUUUGCAAAAAAGAAAACGCCCUCCGGCCUCGAAUUUCGUCCGCGGUCGGCCAGGCGCCGCGCUUUGGUUCCUUUCCCACUCCGCGGUCCCCGGGUGUGGGCCAAAGCCCGGACCGGCGGGAGGGGCUCCCGGUGCCCGCGUCGCUGGCCCGGCCUGGGGGAUGCGCCCGAGCGGGCUGGAAGGAGGGGCUGCACAGGCGGCGCCCACAGGGUCGUAGCGCCCGGGCUGGGAGCCUGAGAGCGGGUUUCACUGGGGCGCCGCUACGGUUCCUAUGGCAACGCGGCUCCUCGACGCAGCCCAGGAGUCGCGGUCGCGGGAGGCUGCGCCGCGCACCGAGCUCUUCCCUGUGGCCGCCGCAGCCGCCAGCCUCUUCCUGCUCAUGCUUUUCCUCAUCUUCAUCUCGGUCUGAGUGGGCUCUGGACCUCUCCACCAGCCUCUGCCCCAGAACUGUUAACUGCGGGGGGGAAAAAAGGAAUUUGUCGUCGCAACGCGCGUUCCGAUGGAGCCGCACGCCACAAAGGAAGACUCAUGCUGCACCCCGCGGGGCAGAUGCGGCGACACUGGACAUCGCUGCACAGCUGGGUCUGCCCGUUUCCAGAGCUGCUUAGCGCCGACGCCCAUAAAUGAGGAGGACUCCCUGUGUAUUAAAAGGGGGAUCCGCAGGGUUUAAUUUGAUAAGGAUUAUAGCCUUCAUAAAGGCAUUUUUAACAAAAAGAUGUAGGUGGCAUGGUAAUCGAGUAUUAUUUACGCAUCUCUCCGCACACGCACUCAUACCUGAAAACGUUUUGGCAGGCACAAAAUGAUUUUUUUGUGUAUAAAGAAUGUGUGUAACUCGUGGAUGGUGGGGUUCAGCAGGACAGAUUAGUGACAUUAGAUAAUUUACAACGAGGAUUAUGUUUGUGCUGAAAAU
rnacentral:lncRNA from 1 species